AUUGAACGCUGGCGGCAUGCCUUACACAUGCAAGUCGAACGGUAACAGGUCUUCGGAUGCUGACGAGUGGCGAACGGGUGAGUAAUACAUCGGAACGUGCCUAGUAGUGGGGGAUAACUACUCGAAAGAGUGGCUAAUACCGCAUGUGAUCUACGGAUGAAAGCAGGGGAUACCAAGACCUUGUGCUACUAGAGCGGCCGAUGGCAGAUGAGGUAGUUGGUGGGAUAAAAGAUUACCAAGCCGACGAUCAGUAGCUGGUCUGAGAGGACGAUCAGCCACACUGGGACUGAGACACGGCCCAGACUCCUACGGGAGGCAGCAGUGGGGAAUUUUGGACAAUGGGCGCAAGCCUGAUCCAGCAAUGCCGCGUGCAGGAUGAAGGCCUUCGGGUUGUAAACUGCUUUUGUACGGAACGAAAAGCCCUGGGUUAAUACCCUGGGGUCAUGACGGUACCGUAAGAAUAAGCACCGGCUAACUACGUGCCAGCCGCCGCAGUAAAAC
rnacentral:rRNA from 1 species